GAUGAACGCUGGCGGCGUGCCUAAUACAUGCAAGUCGAGCGAAUGGAUUAAGAGCUUGCUCUUAUGAAGUUAGCGGCGGACGGGUGAGUAACACGUGGGUAACCUGCCCAUAAGACUGGGAUAACUCCGGGAAACCGGGGCUAAUACCGGAUAACAUUUUGAACCGCAUGGUUCGAAAUUGAAAGGCGGCUUCGGCUGUCACUUAUGGAUGGACCCGCGUCGCAUUAGCUAGUUGGUGAGGUAACGGCUCACCAAGGCAACGCUGCGUAGCCGACCUGGGAGGGUGAUCGGCCAAACUGGGACCGAGACACGGCCCAGACUCCUACGGGAGGCAGCAGUAGGGAAUCUUCCGCAAUGGACGAAAGUCUGACGGAGCAACGCCGCGUGAGUGAUGAAGGCUUUCGGGUCGUAAAACUCUGUUGUUAGGGAAGAACAAGUGCUAGUUGAAUAAGCUGGCACCUUGACGGUACCUAACCAGAAAGCCACGGCUAACUACGUGCCAGCCGCCGCAGUAA
rnacentral:rRNA from 1 species